rnacentral:lncRNA from 1 species
UUCUAUUCUAUUCAUAAUAAAUUGCCCAUGAUUAAAGGAAGAUGAGCAAAAACACACCAGUUCAUUAGCUCCAUAUCAUUUACAAAUCUAUUUCCCAAUUAUGUAUAGUGGCACCAUAAUUAGACCUUAAAACAAACUAGUUCACAUAUUAGCUAUAACAAUUUGUUAUAUAAUUCACCAUCUAAACACUUAGAAAAAGAUCUACCAAAUCCAUGUGAAGAAACUCAAACACGGAUUUCGAUGACGCUUAUUCAUGAAAUUCACCAAUACGCUAUUAAGUUCAUGUUUGUUAAAUCACCAGCCUAGGUAGUGAUAUCAUAUCAAUAGUAAUGUCACCAUCAUCACAUAUUCUAUAUAAGAACGAAGUGAAUAACACCAUUUUCUCAUGUUUUACCACCCUCCAGUAAGGGGAAUCUAAGAAAGAGCACAAGUCUUUGAUCCUGAAGAACAAGAUUCUCCUUUUAUUACCUAAUUUGAGAAUGGAAUCUUGUUACCAUUUGAAGUUUACUCCAAGGAAUUUUAAAACCCACGAGCUCAGGAAUCCAUUCACUUUCACCAGAUUCCUUCACCUUUUUGGAAAAAAAAAAAGAACACAAAUGACAAACAAAAAGUGUCUUUUUCUACACAUAAUGCCAUUAUAUAGAGAGAGGAAAGUUUCGGGAGUGAAUAUGAUUCUUCUUAUGAACAUCCACUCUCAUAAAUAGUAAUGCUCCAAUGCAGAAACUAAUACGAAAGGAAAAAGAAGUAGCAUGGCUCUCAAGACUGAUAUUAAUCACUGAAUAUCACCACUUGGAUCCUGAUUAUGCUCUGAAGUGUGCAGUGUACCCGAUUCCAUAUACGUACAAAGAGAGUGGUAUUCUAUGUGGAUAUCUGAUCACAAGACAAGAAUAAACAAAAGGGAGAAAACUUGGAUGUCAAAAACAAGGAUUAUAAUCCAGUAAUGCAAUGUCCUGUUAAACUAGCGGUUUAAAGCACACAUUGUAUCAAGAAAACCAAAUACCACAGCAAAACUUGAGAGGGAAUCCAUAACAACAUAGCCAUGGCCCAUGGUCAGGCAAAAGAAACAGGAACGAAACUUGAGGCAAGGGUCUAAUAAAGUAUCCAUGGCUCAACGAAAUCCCUUGCUAGAUGAAGACAGUAGUCUACAUGAAACUCAAACCUUGAUUACAUGAAAACCAAAAGACAAACUGCAUCAUCAUUAGAUUCAGGAACAUCGUUCAAGAAAACAGAUCAAGAAAAAAAGCUACUACAAACUGUCAGUGUAUAGAGGAAAGGAAAUAUAUAAAAAAACUGAAUUGUAACCGAAGUUUUCAUCAACAGAACCACAUGGUAGGAUUUGGCGUAGAUACUAGUCAACUAUGAACACAUGAUUGGAAGUACAGCUACAAACAAAAACAAAAUGAUUGAUCUUUUAUCCUUAAAAAAAAAAAAAAACUAAACCAAACCUUUCAAAGAGACAAGAAUCAUCCAUCUCUACUAUCUUUAAUUACCACCAAUCACAGUCCAAGAACAAAAGUCCUUAAUUUUUUUUUUCUUAGACAAGAAUUUACUUGAUUUCUUCUUCUUUCACUUACACCUAAGAACCUCAAGAAAUAAUAAUACUUUCAAUCAAAUUUGGGAUAAAUUUCAAAUAUUUGGUUUAGCAACAGACUAAACUUUCCCAAUCCAAAAGUAUCUUAACAAAAAAAAAAAAAAAAAGAGGCGACAAAUGAGGAAGGAGAAGCGCUGGAUGCAGAGGUUUAUCGAUCGAUUCAUGCUUUCGAUGUAAAGUGUCCAACAUCGAAAGAAAAUUUCUCAGGAAUUGAUCGAUGAACCGCUGCCUCCAGCGACUUCAACUAUCAUCAUAUUCGUCAAAGAAAGUAAAUAGGACUCGAGCAAAUUAGAAUAAUUCACAGAUCUGAAAAAAUCGGUGCUGAACACAAAUUAAUCAUUGAUGGAAGCUGGAUCUCAAAAGUAGAUAAAUUUACAGAGAGAGAGGUAGAUGCAGAGUAAUAUCUACGAGCUUGUAUUAUAUAUAGAGAGGCGUGGCUACAUACACAGAUGCAUGUGAGAAUCUGAGAGUUUCAAAUAUCAGUAAAAAAGUAGACUCAACGAAAUUGAAAAUGAAGAGGAAUCUGAUGACUCACCGUUUUUUCUUCUUUUUGCCGUACAUAAUUUUCUCAUCUUUUGUCCUUUUGGUCAACAAAUUGGAGUCCUUGAUUGAAGAAAAAACAAAAUUAUUCUUCUUUUAUGUCAACCUUUUCAACUUUUUUUUUCAUUCUAUUUUCUAGUCUUG